rnacentral:rRNA from 1 species
AGUCGAGCGGAGCGAGGGUGCUUGCCCUUAGCUUAGCGGCGGACGGGUGAGUAAUGCUUAGGAAUCUGCCUAUUACUGGGGGACGACAUUCCGAAAGGGAUGCUAAUACCGCAUACGCCCUACGGGGGAAAGCAGGGGAUCUUCAGACCUUGCGCUAAUAGAUGAGCCUAAGUCGGAUUAGCUAGUUGGUGGGGUAAAGGCCUACCAAGGCGACGAUCUGUAGCGGGUCUGAGAGGAUGAUCCGCCACACUGGGACUGAGACACGGCCCAGACUCCUACGGGAGGCAGCAGUGGGGAAUAUUGGACAAUGGGGGGAACCCUGAUCCAGCCAUGCCGCGUGUGUGAAGAAGGCCUUUUGGUUGUAAAGCACUUUAAGCGAGGAGGAGGCGCUCUAGGAUAAUACCCUAGAUGCGUGGACGUUACUCGCAUAAUAAGCACCGGCUAACUCUGUGCCAGCAGCCGCGGUAAUACAGAGGGUGCGAGCGUUAAUCGGAUUUACUGGGCGUAAAGCGCGCGUAUGUGGCUAAUUAAGUCAAAUGUGAAAUCCCCGAGCUUAACUUGGGAAUUGCAUUCGAUACUGGUUAGCUAGAGUAUGGAAGAGGAUGGUAGAAUUCCAUGUGUAGCGGUGAAAUGCGUACAGAUCUGGAGGAAUACCGAUGGAGAAGGCAGGCAUCUGCCCUAAUACUGACACUGACGUGCACAAGCAUGGGGAGCAAACAGGAUUAGAUACCCUGGUAGUCCAUGCCGUAAACGAUGUCUACUACCCGUUGGGCCUUCGAGGCUUUAUUGGCGCAGCUAACGCGAUAAGUAGACCGCCUGGGGAGUACGGUCGCAAGACUAAAACUCAAAUGAAUAGACGGGGGCCCGCACAAGCGCUGGAGCAUGAUGGUUUAAUUCGAUGCAACGCGAAGAACAUUACCUGGCCUUGACAUACAGAGAACUUUCCAGAGAUGGAUUGGUCCCUUCGGGAACUGUGAUACAGGUGCUGCAUGGCUGUUGUCAGCUCGUGUUGUGAGAUGUUGGGUUAAGUCCCGCAACGAGCGCAACCCUUUUCCUUACUUUCCAGCAUUUCGGAUGGGCACUUUAAGGAUACUGCCAGUGACAAACCGGAGGAAGGCGGGGAUGACGUCAAGUCAUCAUGGCCCUUACGGCCAGGGCUACACACGUGCUACAAUGGUCGGUACAAAGGGUUGCCACACAGCGAUGUGAUGCCAAUCUCAAAAAGCCGAUCGUAGUCCGGAUUGGAGUCUGCAACUCGACUCCAUGAAGUCGGAAUCGCUAGUAAUCGCGGAUCAGAAUGCCGCGGUGAAUACGUUCCCGGGCCUUGUACACACCGCCCGUCACACCAUGGGAGUUUGUUGCACCAGAAGUAGGUAGUCUAACCUUA